CCUACGGGGGGCAGCAGUAGGGAAUCUUCGGCAAUGGGGGCAACCCUGACCGAGCAACGCCGCGUGAGUGAAGAAGGUUUUCGGAUUGUAAAACUCUGUUGUUAGAGAAGAACGGUAGGGAGAGUGGAAAAUUACCUAAGUGACGGUAUCUAACCAGAAAGGGACGGCUAACUACGUGCCAGCAGCCGCGGUAAUACGUAGGUCCCCAGCGGUGUCCGGAUUUAUUGGGCGUAAAGCGAGCGAAGGUGGUUUAUUAAGUCUGAAGUAAAAGGCAGUGGCUCAACCAUAGUGCGCAUGGGAAACUGGGAGACUUGAGUGCAGGAGAGGAGAGUGGAAUUCCAGGUGUAGCGGUGAAAUGCGUAGAUAUAUGGAGGAACACCGGGGGCGAAAGCGGCUCUCUGGCCUGUAACUGACACUGAGGCUCGAAAGCGUGGGGAGCAAACAGGAUUAGAUACCCGAGUAGUC
rnacentral:rRNA from 1 species